AGGUAACAUCUCUCGCUCAGACGAGUAGAAGCUGAUGAUUCUCCCACUCAUACAAGACGUGUCAUGAAACUCAGAGGUGAUCAGAGAGGCAAAGGACACCAGGACACAUGGGUGCUACUGAGCAGCGACUGAAACCCAAGACCUGCCGCAGCAUGACACCAGUCCCGGCCGUAGACCGUGAAAUGGGAUGGCCGAGUAUUUGCAUGAGGAAGCACUGCCCGGAGCCCAGGACACAAAUCUGCUCAGACAGUUAGGGCACUGGACAGUUCUUCCCCUGGUCACGGCAGUAAGGUAUUAAACAGCCUCAGCCCUGCUCAGAGAUGGCAGACACACAGCCAUGUGCUCGGUCCUGAGCUCACAGCAGGACUGAUAGCCUCUGGCAGCAGGGCAGCUUCUGGCAGUGGCCUGGUUCAACCAGGUUUACCUGGAGGCUGGCAGGACACAGCGAGCAGCUUGCCCCAGCCUACGCCCCUGAGUGUAACCAGGCACCUGCAGACACUUAAUGAAGGGCGAGUGAAGCACAAAGCCUCACAGGGACCCUCGUCUCAAAUGUUGUGGUUAUCCCUGAAGCAUGCAUUAACUGUUUUGCUGCUGAGCCCUUCCACAAAGUCAAAACUGCUUUCUAAUGCAGUUUGUUGAGGCCUAUACGUCAGCCAGAGGCCGAUUUGGACUAAUCCAGGAAGGGAGCCAAGUAUUAAAAAAAAACCAACCUCUGAGGUUGUGGAAUAUCUAAAACAUAUUGAUCAUGGUGUAAUUACUCUUGAAAUGUAUUAGGGGAAGUAGCUAAAACAGUCUCCACUCUGAGAAAGAUGAUGUGGGAGCAUGCAAGAGGGCCUCGGGGAGACUGACUGGAAUUCUUAUGAGGGAUGGUGAACCUGUUUCAGAAAAUGUAAAGAAAAGUUACCCAAGUGAGCAUUAAAUGACAGAUGUGGUAAUGACUAUCUCAAACUUCCAUUUUCUAAAGAUUUAGCUACUAUUUACAUGAAUAUCAGAAGUCAGUGAAGCAAACGCAGCAAGAAGCAGCAUACAUGUGAC